AAAAGUAUAUAAGAAGGAAUAAACUCAGAGUUUGUUAAGAUGUAUCCUGCAGCUUCAAACCUCUGCUUAAGACAUGCCUGUGUCUUUUUCUUAGCAUCCUACAUCUGGCGCCCAACGUGGGGCAGCCCUCCCAUGGAGCAACUGGGACAGCCCCCCCUUCCGAGGGAGCAACAGCCAACUUACUUACCAGCAUCUGGAAUAGACCCCUAAGUGCACUUUCGUCCUACGGGACCCCUCAGUGGUUUGUUCCAGUAGCACAAGAAGCUGUGGCUUUGGCAAAUGGCCAGAAAGCAAAAGUCAUUGGAAGAGGUACAUGCACCUUAAAAUUUUUAAAUCAUUUAUUCUGAAAUAGUCUCAGUGGCAUUACUCCAGAAUCAAAGACUAGAAAAUUAAAAGGAAGUCAUGAAGAGCCAAUUUUGACAGUGAGAGCAUUCCUGUCGUUAUGCGUUGCCAGUAUUUUGAGUCGUUCACACCGGAGGCACAUCUAAGUAUCUUUGAUUGUACAUGAGGAUUAUUUGGAAGGAAACCUCAACCGCAAUGGAAACUUAUGCUGUAGCAAGGGGUGCUGUCACCUUGGAAGUAAGUGAGGCCUUAAUUCUUGUGUGAUUUGUAUAAACGUUUAUCCCUCCCAGCUAUUCCUUGGUCCCUUAGGCAGAAAUCAAUUCAAAAGUUGAAAUGAAAAAGCAUUUGGGGUGGAAUUUAGGGCUGAAAAAUCAAUGCAUGCGCACACUGUACAUUUCAAUGUGCUUUUUUUACAUUAAGAACCUAUAUACUAUAAUGCAUGCUCUGUAUUGAUCAAAGCCAAUCACAAAUGUGAAUAUUUCAACUAAACAAAAAGUUGAGGUGGAAUAGCUAUGGCACCAAUCAAGAGACCAAAAGUUAGAUUGCUGGUUGUAUCGAAUGAUUUCCUUUAAUCAAAUGAACUUCUUAUCACUGCUGUAAGUUCUGUGUUUCGUAAGCUUUGAUUCAGAUAAAGAGCCUUACAAAGAUUGAUCUGAAUACCCAAGAUCCAGAAGGUACCUGUGAUUUUCCCAAUUUGAUUUGCAAUGGAAAGUUGCAAUGCUAUACUGUUGCACUGGAAAAAAAAACGGUGGAAGAAGAAGCACUUGAGGUUACAUGUAGAUCAUCUGUUCUCUGCAAUCUUUGUAACAGAUUACUGAAACUUGGAACACGAAAAAGAAUGAGAAAAAAUUGGGGUACUUUGAAGCCUCUGCUCAUCAGACAACAGACUCCCCAACUUAAUUGUUUUUCAGAAGAGACAAGUAGACGCAUGAACUUGUCUAUUCUCUAAACUACAUUAAAAAAAAAAAACUGGAAAGGGAUGAGGAAACCCUGAGUACUUAUUCAGAGUUUCACACAGUACUUGCAUCAGACACCAGCUAGAUUGUUUUUCACAAAAGGUAUGCAGAUAGUCUCUAUUGGCUCCCUUUAUUAAUCUGAGAAAAAUUGGGCUUUUUUUCAUCCUCUGUUCCUCUAUUACUUUAGAGCAGAGGUGUAAAACUGGCAGCCCAUGGGCCAGAUGCGUCAUGCGUAGGCCAUGCCUACCCCGGCUCUGCAAAGGCAAAAAACGUUGCAAUACAUCACAUGACGUGAUCAAGUUUGACACCCAUGCUCUAGGGCAGGGGUCUUCAAACUUGGCCCUUUUAUGACUUGUGGACUUCAACUCCCAGAAUUCCUCAAGCAUUUUACUGUUUCAAAGUGUAAUUUGUAUUUCUUUUUAAAAAAUGUAUUAUGGGGAGACCUCGACUUGCAAUCAUUCAUUUAGUGACCAUUUGAAGUAAAUAUGUGACUUACAAUAGGUCCUUCAUCUUACAACCAUUGCAGCAUCCCCUCAGCCAAGUGAUCACAAUUCAAAUGCUUGGUAAUCGUUAUGUAUUUAUGACAGUUGCUGCAUGCCAGCAUCAUGGGAUUGCCAUUUGCAACCUUUUCAGCUGGCUUACAAUAAACAAAGUCAAGGGGGGGGGAAGCUGGAUUCACUUAACAACCAUGUGAUUCACUUAACAACCAUUGCAAAGAUAGUUGUAAAAUUUGACACAAGUCUCUCUCUAUAUUACUAAACUUUAAAAUAAUUUCUGAUGAAUAAAGAAUCUGCAAGUUACUGUGAUGUAAAUAAAAAAUAUUUUCUAUCGGGGUACUUAUACCUUCUUCUAGAAUCAUCCAAGUAUCAUUGUGCCAAGAUACAGUAAUGCUGACAGGCUUUGCAUCACCACAGUAAAGGUUGAAUGGUCUAACUCAUUGGUGAGGAAAUGAACAAGGAUCCUUAUCUUCCAUUCCCAAAUUCCAAUAUUUGCAUCAGGCUUAGUCCUUUUACAGUGUUUUAAAAAUAAUUUAGUGUAAUUACAUUCUUUCCCCCUAUGGAAGAAAACACACCUGCUAAAUAAGGUUUAAAAGGUUUUUUUUUAGUGCUGCAUCAUAUUCCUAACAAAGAGCAAUGAAAAUCAGGGCAGUACGGUUACAUUUUCAACAAAGCUGUGAAAAUGGUAUCUGUUGAGUCCUUGGCGAAAAGCAGACGCGAGAAGCAGUUGUAGUUCUCAGGUUUUCUUUUAUUCUGUGUUCAGCUUACAGGUGAAGGCUUCAG